rnacentral:rRNA from 1 species
GAUCCUGGCUCAGGACGAACGCUGGCGGCACGCCUAACACAUGCAAGUCGAACGGGGUUAUACGGGAUGAAGUUUUCGGAUGGAAUUCUAUAUAACCUAGUGGCGGACGGGUGAGUAACACGUGAGCAACCUGCCUAUCAGAGGGGGAUAACGAUUGGAAACGAUCGCUAAUACCGCAUGACAUAGCGAAACCGCAUGGUUUUGCUAUCAAAGAUUUAUCGCUGAUAGAUGGGCUCGCGUCCG